GCAGAUUUUAUUUUCACAUUUUACAGAUGAAGAAACUAAGAAUGUGAGACCUAAAAGAACUUGCCCAAGAUGACAAGGGAAAUAAGCAGCAGAACUAGCCAGGGCUCAAAUCCAAAUUUUCUGGCUCCAAAGCACAUGUGCACUGGAAUAUAUGUAAGAAGACUGAACUGUCUCUGAAGGAAUAUAGUAUCAUCCAGAGCCUCUACAGUGUUUCACGCUCACUGUCCAGCAAUCACUAAAGUGCCUGGAAGUUAUAACCAGCUUCCCCCAAGGAAGAUCAUAGCCAACACCUGAUUGCUAUAAGAGGAGUAGAAUUCCUGCAAAAUCUCCAGUCUCUUGCUUCCAGUUGCAGACAUCCUUCACAGACAGAUCAGCAAAAGACCAGAAAGAAUCAGUGUAACAGGAAAUAAACGAGAAAUUCAAAGAUCAUGACCUGUAAUACCUUUUUAACUACUACCUUACCAUCUGACCUUCUGCUAGUAGCUCAUCCUUGCAUACCUCCUUUCUAUAGUUUGUAAAAAUGGGAAUGACAACAGUGUGGUUACCCCCCAAAGGGAUUGGGUAGAAAAAACGGGCACAGGGGCUGUAAAAUACCUUGCAGGCCAUAAAAUGCUACAUAAAUGCUUGGAAACAAAACAAGAGCCCCAUGGUUUAAUAUAAAACUAGUUUUUCAGCUAAACUAAGUAC